AGUCCCGUAGGGUAGCGGUCAAUCCUUCUGGCCUUUGGAGCCGGAGACGAUGGUUCGAAUCCGUCCGGGACUA
rnacentral:tRNA from 4 species